GUACAAUUGUACUUUGGCAAUCGUGGACUCUAUUAUAAGGCCAACUAACCUGGUUUAUGACAGUUAUUUUUAUUACCACUUUAUACUUUCUGAUUAUUGCCACAGCACAGAAAUCAACACUACUUUGAUCAUUUGAAAACCCAGUAGGAUUUUUUAAAAUAUUUUUUUAUAUAUUUUUUUCUUAUUUCCUCCUCUCCACCUAGAGGGAAUUGCAAAUCAUAAUAGACAGGUUGAUAAGAAGUCCUGAACUUUGAAAAAUGCGUCUGAUUUCUUUAGAUUCCAUAUCUAUAAUAGGAAAUGAGAAAGUGUUCAGUAUAAUGAUAAAGAUUUAGCUGCUUGCCCAGCAUUUUGUUAGGAUGCAGAGCUAGACAAUCUAACAGACAAGUAUUGGAAACAAAAAGAAAUUUGGUUUUUCUCUGAUAUUUAGAUAACUAGAGAAUUCAGUUAUCCAAACACCUAUUCCUUUCAAAAUCUGAGAUCACAAGUACAGGGUCUUGUAAUCAUUUAAAGCUCCUGGCCUUUUGUGUAUGAGACUGAAGAUAAAAGCAAGGGUACAUUACUUUCAUUGAAUAGUCACUUAAAAAUCAUGAAACACUUCCUCUUUUUAAGGUACUGGCAGGUAUCUGGCCUAUUCUUGAGUUAGAGAAAGUCCCUGGUGUUAAGAUCUAAAAAUGAAUAUUUCUCUCGUUUCACGUACCCUUAUCAAAGACGGGUGGAAAGGCACUUUUCCAAAUACAUUUUACCAUGAUUUCUGCCCCACUCAUGCUCCCCAGCACAAGAAGUAAAACUAUUUCCCUUCAAAUAAUGUGAAAUGGGCUGUAUCUGUCCAGUCUUGGUUGUCUUCUUUUUUUGCUGCAUAAAAAUUGGUUGAGUCCAAAUCACUAUGAUGUACAAUUCUCUCUGACUCCGAGCGUCUGAGUGAGGCUAGAAAAGAGACAGAAAUGUUUUUCUGUGUUUAAGAAAGAACCCUUUAAAGCUCCCAGAUAAAUAUAAACAGAUACUUCUG
rnacentral:lncRNA from 1 species